UCGAGCGAACUGAUUAGAAGCUUGCUUCCUAUGACGUUAGCGGCGGACGGGUGAGUAACACGUGGGCAACCUGCCUGUAAGACUGGGAUAACUCCGGGAAACCGGAGCUAAUACCGGAUAACAUUUUUUCUUGCAUAAGAGAAAAUUGAAAGAUGGUUUCGGCUAUCACUUACAGAUGGGCCCGCGGUGCAUUAGCUAGUUGGUGAGGUAACGGCUCACCAAGGCAACGAUGCAUAGCCGACCUGAGAGGGUGAUCGGCCACACUGGGACUGAGACACGGCCCAGACUCCUACGGGAGGCAGCAGUAGGGAAUCUUCCGCAAUGGACGAAAGUCUGACGGAGCAACGCCGCGUGAGUGAUGAAGGCUUUCGGGUCGUAAAACUCUGUUGUUAGGGAAGAACAAGUACAAGAGUAACUGCUUGUACCUUGACGGUACCUAACCAGAAAGCCACGGCUAACUACGUGCCAGCA
rnacentral:rRNA from 2 species